UUGAACGCUGGCGGCAUGCCUUACACAUGCAAGUCGAACGGUAGAGGGGCAACCCUUGAGAGUGGCGAACGGGUGAGUAAUGCAUCGGAACGUGCCCAGUCGUGGGGGAUAACGCAGCGAAAGCUGUGCUAAUAUCGCAUGUGAUCUGUGGAUGAAAGCAGGGGACCGCAAGGCCUUGUGCGAUUGGAGCGGCCGAUGUCAGAUUAGCUAGUUGGUAGGGUAAAAGCCUACCAAGGCGACGAUCUGUAGCUG
rnacentral:rRNA from 1 species